rnacentral:lncRNA from 1 species
UCAGUUUGAGUAUAUCGUGUAUUCGAAUUUCCCGAGGCUAGUACGUACUAUUAUUAUAAACCCAUUUCCAAAUAUUCAGUUUUUUCACAUCAUGACACUUUCGAUAUUAAAAACUAGUAGUGGUUCUAAUCUCGUAUCCGAUCGAUGCCACCUCUAGUUACGACUGGUGUGAAAACUUAAAAUAGUAAAAAAUAUAUAAAAAAAACUAUACUAGCAUCAUUUGACGGAAACCAUGUGGUCCACAUAGGACUGUCUCACCUUUACUCUCCUCAAAAAGUAUCAAGUUCCGGAACGUUCUAACUUCUAAUGAGAAUAUGCAACCAUCCUCUUUGUAAUGUUUCGAGAAAGUUCGACAUUUACUACUAUGUGAUUAAAAGAAGUUGGGUUCUCUACCUCCCCUCUACAUAUAUAUAAUAUGUAAGUUACUUACGUGGCCAUUGUCUCCACCACAUCUCCUCCCUCAACUUCCAUAAACUAAACCACCACGGAAAGCAGAGUACUCUGUUUUCAAAAAAAUACACACUUCCCGCUCUUUUUUUUUUUUUUUUUUGUUCCUUUUCUGUUUGGUCUCUGUCUUCUCUGAUCAGGAACCCAAAUGGUUUAUGUCCUUGCUUCGAUUACAAUUUACAUGAAAUCUAAUCACAGGUUAUUUGAGAUCUAGCAAUACUCCGAGAUGGACCCGUCGUCAAGGUCGAGAGCGCGGUCAAUGCCGCAUGUGCCAGUUGAGGGAUUGCAGGAACCAGGGCCUUCACCGUUUCUAGCAAAGACAUACGAGAUGGUGGAUGAUCCAAACACAAACAACAUUGUCUCUUGGAGCAGGGAAGGCAUCAGUUUUGUUGUUUGGGAUCCAUAUUCCUUCUCCGCGUCUAUUCUCCCUCUAUACUUCAAGCACAACAACUUCUCCAGCUUUGUUAGACAACUCAACACUUACGUAAGUAUCUCUGUUCCUCCGCUAUAGGACAUUGCUACGUGUUCUUUUCGUUUCACUUUUGUGCUCCCUUGGUCUUAUAGUUUUGGAGGACCUCGAUGAUGCGUUCGGCCUCCGAUUACUUCAUAAUGGUAAUUAAUUUGUUUUCCGUUGUGAAAUUUGUUGUUUAAACCGACAACUUCGUAUAAGUUAUGUUCAACUUUAUUCAUAUAUCAACUUCCUUCUAUUAUUUUAUGUCCUGUUUGUUUGUUUGUUUGUUUCCGAGGUGGUGUGGUCUAACAACAAAAAAAGAAUUAUAAAAAUUUAAGAUUAGGAUUUUUUAAAGACGGUCAUGUAAUAUCAAAGACGUCGCAAGAGAAAAAUAAAACUUAAAUUUAAUAAUUGAUUAUUUACUUACCGGCAGGGUUUUAGAAAGAUCGAGACAGAGAGAUGGGAGUUUAUGAAUGAAGGUUUUUUAAUGGGUCAAAGAGACCUUUUGAAAAGCAUCAAGCGACGAACCUCCUCCUCUUUCCCUUCCUCACUCAUCCACUCUCACCCCGAGAGCCAUGACCCCAGCGUCGAGCUUCCGCAGCUCCGAGAAGAGAGGCAUGUCCUAGUGAUGGAGCUAUCGAGGCUCAGACAGGAGGAGCAGAGAGCGAGAGGCUACAUCCAAGCCAUGGAGCAGAGGAUUAACGGUGUAGAGAAGAAACAGAGGCACAUGAUGUCCUUCUUGAGGCGUGCGGUACAGAACCCUUCGCUUCUGCAGCAGGUACUUGAGCAGAUGAGAGGGCUAGAGGAGGCUGCAAUGAUCGAUCAGGCUAGCUUGGUCAAAACGGAAGCAGUGGAGCACGUAUCGGAGCUUGAGGCGCUGGCGCUAGAGAUGCAAGGAUAUGGACGGAAACGGAUCGAUGGCGUGGAGAGGGAGCUCGACGACGGGUUCUGGGAAGAGUUAUUGAUGAACAACGAGAACUGGAAUAAUGAAGAAGAGGCGAAUGUGAACCAAGUUAAUUAGGUUUUGAGAGUUCAUGUCCGCGUCUAGUAAUCAACAGAAGAAAGAGAGAGAGCAUAAGGAUACUAGUAUUAUGAUCGGUCAAUCAAAGCAGAUGAAGACGGAGAUCCAACAAAAUAAACCAUUUGUAUGAUGAGUAUAGCUCCUUCGUAGUUGCACGAGUAGGCGCUCUCCGGCAUCUUUUAACCAACACGGGAAGUUUGGUAGAUGUUCGCAUCCUCACUCACAUCCUUGGGCUUGCGCUUCUCCUUUUGCUCCAAUAUGAAUCCUAUCCUAUAUAAGUGUAAUAGACAGCAACAUGUUAUUUGAGACGGAGUAUGUAUAACCUGUGAAAACCAAUAAUAAGAUCAGAAGUUGAUAAUCUUCCCCAUGUUUUCGUUGACUCUCAUUAGGCUUCGUGUUACACCAAAUUAUAAGAGAUAUCAAUGAAAUACGAAUCAACCGAUGACGUGCGAGACACACCAUCCCCAAUGAUUUCGAUGUUUUUGGAUUAGGCGGUAUCGUAUUAAUCUCCAAUGGUAAAUUUGAUUAACAAGAUUCUAACUCUUUUUAAUCGGUCGGCCACGCGUCAAUUUAAUAUGGAAACACCGGCAGGCAGUAGUCCGAUAAAGGUUUGAACCAUGGCUACUUAAUGACUGUAUCAAUCUUCAGUCUAGGAGCUGCUGCGAUUGCUUCCUUCUCCCUGAAGAAGAAAGUCAAAACUCAAAAGUCAAAAGAUAUGCAGUAAAACGAGGCCACUCACUCAGCAAAUAUUUCCCCGUCUCAUUCUAUCAAAUAUCAUCCGCGAUUUACAAUCCCACGGUUCGUCUCCAUGCUAGUCUUCCCAUCUCCCACUUAUCCCAUUCCAAUUCGUCUCUUCUUUCGAUGGUCACCUAUACGAAGCUUAGACGUCAGCGACUUGCAUCGAAGCUUAUGCCUACGUUCUUGAGCUCAGUGGCAAUUUUGGAGCUCUCUCUAUCUCAGUGUCGGCAGCUGCAUUCCAUCAUUUCAAGACUCUCUCCGCUUUGAAUUUAUUUUUGGGCUGGGAAGCUUGUUUUGAUGUACCGUCAGCGUCGGUCUGUGGAUGACGCAGAGAAAGUGUUUGACGAAAUGCGUCAAAGAGAACGGCCUCUUGCGUGGAAUGCGAGUAUUGGAGCCUAUCUUGCCAAUGAUGAGCAUGCUUCGGCUCUUACUCUAUUACCUGGUCGAAGGCGUCCCUCUCUUGCUUAAAGCCUGCGGCCAUCUUAGAUAUUUCCGGACUGGGACUGAGCUUUAUUGUCUUCUCGUUAAACAGAUUUUAUUGUCCAUGGGUUGCUUUCCAUUUAUGCUAAAAAAGAAUGAUGACCAAACCGCAACAAGGCGUCUGUUUUGUUUGAUUGAUCCCAAGAUACUUUUCUGUGGUUUUCUACUAUGUCUGGCCAAUCUUUUGAGGCUUUAGAGUUGUUCAGAGAAAUGCAGAUGAAUAGUCCUGCCUCCAACAGCUACACCGGCUCUCACAGCCUGUGAAGGUUUUUCAUAUGCAAAACUAGGCUAAGAGAUUCACGCUCUUGUCCAGAAAUCAACUCUAUCUUUUGGAUCGAGAUCAACGCCAAGGUUCAUAAAUUUACACCAAGAGACAAGUCUCACCCAGAGUCCAGAGACCAAAGAGAUAUAUGAGAAUUGUCCGAGGUUACUAGGAAGUUGGAGGAGGAAGCAGGUUAUACAAUGUUCGUUCUGCAUUAUGUUGAUCAAGGGGAGAAGGUUCAGAUUCUGCAUGGACAGUGAGAGGCUAGCAAUUGCUUAAACUUGACAACGCAUAUGUUCACCACUCUAGACGAAGAUUAUUAUGCAAUUUUUUAGCUGCAUAUGGUUAUUUGCCUGUGUCCCACCAAGAACAACAAGAAGUCGUCAUUUUAGGAGUGCAAUGACCCCCUUUGUUUUACACCAUAGAAGGGAAAGAGAGAGCUUGAAAGGGAAUUCAGAGUAGAAGAGAAGAUGGAGACCUGAUUAAGAAGAAGAAAGUAAAGGCAUAUCAGUAAUUAAAAGCAUGAAGCAGAGACCUAGACACCAAGCUAGGGAUAGAGUCGUCUAACUAGGCUGUUCAGCAGAGACCUAGUAGGUCUUUUAAGAGUAAAUGUCUCCAAGAUACUCAUCUCUCUUUUCUCCUUGUGAUUAUGUUUGCUUUUAAACCCACACCUACCAAACCCGUGGAUGAAUAUUUCAUAUAUUCCACCUAUAUUCAUCUGCAUUCAAACACAAUCCACAAACCGCAGCUGUUUCCUGUUUACGUCUUUGUAUUUGCAUUGCUUAAGAGAAUGAUGGUUUAUUAGCCUUAUUUUGUGGGAUCCUAAAUGCAGGAGCAAACAUUGGAGGGUGGUUGAUGCAAAACCUAAAGAUGCGGUCUUGUAGAUACGGAGUCAAACUAAGCAUGGACUUUGGCGCAAGCUUCUUGACGGUCAAGAUUUAAAAUCAGGUACGACACUGUGUGUACGUGAGAGAGAGAGAGAGAGAGCGAAAGAAAGAAAGAAAGAAAGAAAGAGAUGUAUCACAAUAAAGGAGUAUAUUUAGGGUCACAGGUGGUGGAGAUAUAGGUAUGCAGGGCCGAGGCGCUAAUCUCUCCAUAGCCCUAUUGAUUUUGUCUCUCUCUCUCUCUCUUCUUCCUUCCUCUCUUAGCUGUAUGCAUGAUGAUGCUUCUUUUAAUUCACUGUUUCAUGCUUCUUUAAUUCGUGGUGUCUCUCUCCUUUUUACCCAACCAUCUCUUUAAGUUUUUAACAUCUGUCCCUCAAAUCCUCUCUCAUCUCUUUCUAUAAGUAUCGAUAACGUCUCAACCCUCAAAGCAUUAUCUCUCUCUUUUCUCUUCUCCUUCAUGUAUGCUCCACCACAUAUGUUCUAAUUUUCAACGUUUUCAUGAAGACAAGUCCACAAGGGAACAAGUGAAGCUGCCAGCAUGAUCUAUCUUUGGUUAAUAGAUAAAUGUGGAAACACAUUUUGCUUAAACCCAAGCUAGGUCAUGCUCUGACAGCCUCACUCCUUCCUGGUUUAGGAACAGUCACUGAUAAAACCUUCCACAUGCCUGUUGAAAGAAAAACAAAGUGACAAACAGACGUUUCUCUAUAUGAAACCGCUGUAAGGGUUAUAUCUGUUUUCUCCUGCUUUGUCACCCUCUCCACUUUCUACCCUCUUGUUUUUGCGUUAUUUCUCUACCAUAUAUUUCAUCUAGUUUUAGUGUUUUAAGGCGAAAAUAGACUCUGCAGAGCCAAACGUCUCUUAAGAAAAGAAAACUGUACAAAACCAAAAUGGUCUCUCUCCAUAUUCUCCUAAACAUUACCAAACAAACUCUAUCUCGCACGCUGUAUAUAAUAUAUAACCCUUAUCUCAAUACAAAACUUCCUGCCUACUACUUAUUUAGCUUUAAGAAGUACAAACGGUGUAAUAUAGUCUUUGACUGUACAUCAAAUAAACCAAAGCUAGUGUUAUUACCCACCCUUCCUUCGACUAUACUGCAGAUAAGCCAAAGUAGUCUUACUACCCAACAAAGGGUACGCCAAAACUCAAACUCACACAAUUGUUUUUCCUUCGUUUUCCUAAGCCAUCCAGAUAUCUUCUUAAACCAACCUAGCAAUCUUGUUUUAUGUCUCUAUAACAGUGAACUGGUAAGCCACCUUGUUGCAGCAGUUUGAAAAGGGAGGCAUCAGAGGUUUUGGGAUCAAUCCUUGUGGGAACCAUCUCCUUAACGAGAGAGAGCAUAGCCCUCACAGAGUAGAUGGUAGCGUAGGCAAAACGCCAACGCCUCUGGGCCUUGUUGAGGCUGGGGGUGGCAAGGUUGAGCAGCAGAGAACUGCAAUCAUAUUUUUGGAGGUCUCUCAUAUGCUUUGUGUGUAAAGAGAGAUAGAGUUUUAAGGGGAAUAAAAGAGUCUCGUCUAUAUUUGGUGUGACUUGUAAGACACUCAAGACUCGAAAGAAAUGAUCUCUCUCCAAAAACCUGAGCUUCGUGCUCUGCUAUAUAAAUCCGUAUUGGCCGCCUUUGCAUUUUUUUUUUUGUGCUUCCAAAUAAAAUCGUUAAAGCUAUUGUUAUACAAUUUUAUCUUGUCGUAGAUUAUUUUGUUCAGGAGGUGUAACCACUCAAAACACGUGUAAACACAAGGCAUGUGGAUCAAAGGACAUGGGCUGCACAUCCUUUCGUACUUGUAUGUUGACUUAUCUAUUGGCUCUUGCUAGGGUUUCAAACCAUUGUGCCCCAAAAAAAAGAGAGUUAAGUAAUGAUGUUAAAGCAGCCAUACGAUGGAAUAAUCUAGUCUGGUGUAGACAAGCCGUCAUUGUAGAAUGAUGAACAACAAUAACGUGCGUGUACCAACUUAAUAUAAGAAAUGGCAAUAAUAGCAAAACGAAAGGAAAAAAAGGACUAGAGCCUUUGAAUCUUCCACAUCCACACCAGCUUUUUUGCUAUAUCUAUUAAGUGAAUUUAUACUACUCAGUCAAAUUGGCAUUUGCAUGAUGAAUGAAACAAAACCGAGUUUGUCACUUCUCCUUCUAGUUGUCUACAAAGAAAAGAAGUUGAAUAUACAUAUAUUAUAACAGAGUAGCGUGUGAGAAUCGUUGUGUAGGACAAAAGUUUUCAUCCCCGAAACUUCGUUGCAGUUUCCAUUUUCGUUGUCAAGGAAUGGGAGCCUCAUCUCUUUGUACUUUCAUGUGACGACAGCAAGACGUAAAGCAGUAGUUGACUCUGCGCUGUAAAGACACAAAAUAAGUUGACCUCCACUAAAACUAGACGUGACCACCAAAGAAAGAGCUCUGCAGAUUCAAGAGGGAUAUAUAUUUACAAAGGCUCUUUUGCAAAGCAAGCACUAUAAGAAACUCCUCAUAAUAUCAAAGUUUGCAGACGAAACAUAACGUAUAGAGAGAGAGAGGGCAACACACAUACACAGAGGCUUUGAUAGCAUACAUUUAAAACUGAUCACGCAGUGAUGCGGACAAGAAAUAAGAGUCUUUUUUUUUUUUCUUUUUUUGACAAGCAGCACCAAAUUAACUUAAUGCGUUUUGCUCUUAAUUCAAACUAGAAGAAAGAAGGAGUCUGAGGAACUAACUAUGAUGGCCUUAUUCUAGAUACAUUGAGAGAUUUCGUAGUGGUGGGAAAGAGGCUUUCAAGUAGGUGUGUCUUUCUUAUAAUAUAUGAGUCAGUCUGUAAUCAUCUUUUGUAAAUGCUGUACAAAAAGAGAGAGAGAAAUGCAAAGAGAAGAGCUUUGUUAGUUCUGAAUCAUUCUGCUAAAAAUCUCAAACAGAUAGAGGGAGACAUGAUAAAGUAAGUAAUUUCCAACGUUACGAUUAAAAACUUGAGCUCACAACAGUUUGACCAGAAAUAAGAACAUCAUCAUCCUCACAUACAC